CAGUAGCCGCGGGAAUACGGAGGGGGCUAGCGUUGUUCGGAAUUACUGGGCGUAAAGCGCACGUAGGCGGCUUUGUAAGUUAGAGGUGAAAGCCUGGAGCUCAACUCCAGAAUUGCCUUUAAGACUGCAUCGCUUGAAUCCAGGAGAGGUGAGUGGAAUUCCGAGUGUAGAGGUGAAAUUCGUAGAUAUUCGGAAGAACACCAGUGGCGAAGGCGGCUCACUGGACUGGUAUUGACGCUGAGGUGCGAAAGCGUGGGGAGCAAACAGGAUUAGAUACCCGGGUAGUCCCUGUCUCUUAUAA
rnacentral:rRNA from 1 species